rnacentral:rRNA from 1 species
CUAUACAUGCAGUCGACGCUUUUUCUUUCACCGGAGCUUGCUCCACCGAAAGAAAAAGAGGGGCGAACGGGUGAGUAACACGUGGGUAACCUGCCCAUCAGAAGGGGAUAACACUUGGAAACAGGUGCUAAUACCGUAUAACACUAUUUUCCGCAUGGAAGAAAGUUGAAAGGCGCUUUUGCGUCACUGAUGGAUGGACCCGCGGUGCAUUAGCUAGUUGGUGAGGUAACGGCUCACCAAGGCCACGAUGCAUAGCCGACCUGAGAGGGUGAUCGGCCACACUGGGACUGAGACACGGCCCAGACUCCUACGGGAGGCAGCAGUAGGGAAUCUUCGGCAAUGGACGAAAGUCUGACCGAGCAACGCCGCGUGAGUGAAGAAGGUUUUCGGAUCGUAAAACUCUGUUGUUAGAGAAGAACAAGGAUGUGAGUAGAACGUUCAUCCCUUGACGAUAUCUAACCAGAAAGCCACGGCUAACUACGUGCCAGCAGCCGCGGUAAUACGUAGGUGGCAAGCGUUGUCCGGAUUUAUUGGGCGUAAAGCGAGCGCAGGCGGUUUCUUAAGUCUGAUGUGAAAGCCCCCGGCUCAACCGGGGAGGGUCAUUGGAAAACUGGGAGACUUGAGUGCAGAAUGACGAGAGUGGAAUUCCAUGUGUAGCGGUGAAAUGCGUAGAUAUAUGGAGGAACACCAUCUGGCGAAGGCGGCUCUCUGGUCUGUAACUGACGCUGAGGCUCGAA